CUUGUACUCCCUCCGUCCGAAAAUACUUGUCAUUGAAAUGGAUGUAUCUAUAUGUAUUUUAGUUCUAGACACAUCCAUUUUGAUGACAAGUAAUUCCGGAUGAAGGGAGUACUUG
rnacentral:pre_miRNA from 1 species